GAUGAACGCUGGCGGCGUGCCUAAUACAUGCCAGUCGAGCGAACGGACGAGAAGCUUGCUUCUCUGGUGUUAGCGGCGGACGGGUGAGUAACACGUGGAUAACCUACCUAUAAGACUGGGAUAACUUCGGGAAACCGGAGCUAAUACCGGAUAAUAUUUUGAACCGCAUGGUUCAAAAGUGAAAGACGGUCUUGCUGUCACUUAUAGAUGGAUCCGCGCUGCAUUAGCUAGUUGGUAAGGUAACGGCUUACCAAGGCAACGAUGCAUAGCCGACCUGAGAGGGUGAUCGGCCACACUGGAACUGAGACACGGUCCAGACUCCUACGGGAGGCAGCAGUAGGGAAUCUUCCGCAAUGGGCGAAAGCCUGACGGAGCAACGCCGCGCGAGUGAUGAAGGUCUUCGGAUCGUAAAACUCUGUUAUUAGGGAAGAACAUAUGUGUAAGUAACUGUGCACAUCUUGACGGUACCUAAUCAGAAAGCCACGGCUAACUACGUG
rnacentral:rRNA from 1 species